GUAGUUGGAAUUUCAUGAAGGCUGUCGUGGCGAUGACUAUGCUCACCAUUUGUGCUCUGCUUUUCUUAGGGACUUUAGCGGUUCGUCUUGCUGAAUCCGAAGCUAGAGUCAUACCUUCAGAAGAGGCCCUGCGGGGUGAUCAUGCUUCGCGCGAAUCAGAAAGAAGUAUUGGUGGUGGCUGCGCGGCCUCCCUCUGUGGCUAGACACUGCAAGUUCUGCACCUACGGCAUCAAUGUAAAUGAGAAUAAGCUACGCACUUGUCGCGUUUUCGCGGUCAAACAUUCUUAGAGGUGGUGGCAAUACAUUUCUAGUUACCUCAUUUGGCUACACAUCGGUGUGCCCUACUGAUGAAUAAAUAAAUAAUUUUACGCUAAUCCUAUGA